rnacentral:rRNA from 1 species
CCUACGGGCGGCAGCAGUGAGGAAUAUUGGUCAAUGGGCGCGAGCCUGAACCAGCCAAGUAGCGUGAAGGAUGACUGCCCUACGGGUUGUAAACUUCUUUUAUAAAGGAAUAAAGUGAGGCACGUGUGCCUUUUUGUAUGUACUUUAUGAAUAAGGAUCGGCUAACUCCGUGCCAGCAGCCCCGGUAAUACGGAGGGUCCGAGCGUUAUCCGGUUUUAUUGGGGUUAAAGGGAGGGUAGCGGGGUUGUUAAGUCCGUUGUGAAAGUUUGCGGCUCAACCCUCAAAUUGCCGUUGAUACUGGCAGCCUUGAGUGCACUUGAGGUAGGCGGAAUUCGUGGUGUAGCGGUGAAAUGCUUAGAUAUCACGAAGAACUCCGAUUGCGAAGGCAGCCUACUAGACUGCAACUGACGUUGAUGCUCGAAAGUGUGGGUAUCAAACAGGAUUAGCUACCCGAGUAGUC